UACGGAGGAUCCGAGCGUUAUCCGGAUUUAUUGGGUUUAAAGGGUACGUAGGCGGAAUUGUAAGUCAGUGGUGAAAGCCCUUCGCUUAACGAAGGAACUGCCAUUGAUACUGCAAAUCUUGAGUACAUUUGAUGAGGGCGGAAUGUGUCAUGUAGCGGUGAAAUGCUUAGAUAUGACACAGAACACCGAUUGCGAAGGCAGCUCUCAAAACUGUAACUGACGCUGAGGCACGAAAGCGUGGGUAGCAAACAGG
rnacentral:rRNA from 1 species